rnacentral:lncRNA from 1 species
GAGUCUAGCUAACAGAGCAUCUUUGAUGCACUCCUAAGAGAAGACUACCUGAAAGGUGUGUACACUGGUCUAGCAGUUGAGGUCAGCUAAUGUUCCAUCUAUCUUCUGUCAUGUCAGGGAAGACUCUGAUCCUCUCAUAAUUUACCUAUUGUUGAUUUCCUGAAUCUUUUUAAAUUCUUUGCAACUGAAGAUGGUCUCUCCAUCAGAGAAGCAAUUAACCAAAUCCCUGACUACAGCGUAUACGGCAUCUGUUAUAAAAGCAUAAAAGGUUAACUUAAAUCCUGGCACACAAAGGAGACGUCAGACCAGAACAAAUCAGCAUGGAAAUACCUGGAAGAGAUACAAGGUUAAGGUGGAGCAUAUGUACAGUUAAGAGGAUGUUCAUGACUAGUGGAAUGUGUUUUUCAGAUUGCAAAGACUGGAAGGUGCAGGUGACAAGGAGAUUAAACAAGGUCGCUUGUUUUCUUUCUUUCUCUGAAAUAAAGAAGGUCAGUCUGGUAA